GAACUACUCCCUCCGUUCGGAAUUACUUGUCGUAGAAAUGGAUGUAUCUAGAUGUAUUUUAGUUCUAGAUACAUCCAUUUUCAAGACAAGUAAUUCCGAACGGAGGGAGUAAUAU
rnacentral:pre_miRNA from 1 species